AACGAACGCUGGCGGCAUGCCUAACACAUGCAAGUCGAACGAGACCUUCGGGUCCAGUGGCGCACGGGUGCGUAACGCGUGGGAUCCUUCCCUUAGGUUCGGAAUAACUCCCCGUCAGGGGUGCUAAUACCGGAUAAUGUCUACGACCCAAAGAUUUAUCGCCGUUGGAUGUGUCCGCGUUGGAUUAGCUAGUUGGUAGGGUAAAAGCCUACCCAGGCGACGUGCCAUUGCUGGUCUGAGAGGAUGACCAGCCACGAUGGGACUGAGACACGGACCAGACUCCUAGGCGACGGUGGAGUGGGGAGUAUUAUGCACGGGGCGAUGGUGUAACCAAGCCGUGCGGGGGGAGUCAUGAAGGCCUUAGUGAAGCAAAGCUAUUAUACCCGGGAUGAUAAUGACAGUACCUGGAGAAUAAGCACCGGCUAACUACGUG
rnacentral:rRNA from 1 species